rnacentral:rRNA from 1 species
UUCCGGUUGAUCCUGCCGGACCUUACUGCUAUCGGGGUGGGACUAAGACAUGCGAGUUGAGCGUCUCUAGCUAUGUUGAGACGCAGCAUACGGCUCAGUAACACGUGGCUAACCUACCCUCAGGACGGGGACAAACCCGGGAAACUGGGGCUAAUAUCCGAUAGGCGAGGAAUCCUGGAAUGGUUCUUCACCCAAAGGGCAUUGGAAACAUGCUUUCUCUGUCGCCUGGGGAUGGGGCCGCGACCGAUCAGGUUGUUGGUGAGGUAAUGGCUCACCAAGCCUUUAACCGGUACGGGCCAUGAGAGUGGUAGCCCGGAGAUGGGUACUGAGACAAGGACCCAGGCCCUACGGGGCGCAGCAGUCGCGAAAACUCCGCAAUGCACGAAAGUGUGACGGGGCUACCCCGAGUGCCGUCCGCUGAGGAUGGCUUUUCCUUGGUGUAACUAGCCGGGGGAAUAAGGAGAGGGCAAGACUGGUGUCAGCCGCCGCGGUAAUACCAGCUCUCCGAGUGGUAGGGAUGAUUAUUGGGCUUAAAGCGUCCGUAGCCGGCUUAGCAAGUUUCCUGUUAAAUUCAGCGACCUAAUCGUUGAGCCGCGGGAAAUACUACUAGGCUAGGAGGCGGGAGAGGUCGACGGUACUUCUGGGGUAGGGGUGAAAUCCUAUAAUCCCGGGAGGACCACCAGUGGCGAAGGCUGUCGACUAGAACGCGCUCGACGGUGAGGGACGAAAGCUGGGGGAG